rnacentral:rRNA from 1 species
AUUGAACGCUGGCGGCAUGCUUUACACAUGCAAGUCGGACGGCAGCACAGAGAAGCUUGCUUCUUGGGUGGCGAGUGGCGAACGGGUGAGUAAUAUAUCGGAACGUACCGAGUAAUGGGGGAUAACUAAUCGAAAGAUUAGCUAAUACCGCAUAUUCUCUGAGGAGGAAAGCAGGGGACCUUCGGGCCUUGCGUUAUUCGAGCGGCCGAUAUCUGAUUAGCUAGUUGGUGGGGUAAAGGCCUACCAAGUCGACGAUCAGUAGCGGGUCUGAGAGGAUGAUCGGCCACACUGGGACUGGAACACGGCCCAGACUACUACGGGAGGCAGCAGUGUGGAAUUUUGGACAAUGGGCGCAAGCCUGAUCCAACCAUGCCGCGUGUCUGAAGAAGGCCUUCGGGUUGUAAAGGACUUUUGUCAGGGAAGAAAAGGCUGUUGCUAAUAUCGACAGCUGAUGACGGUACCUGAAGAAUAAGCACCGGCUAACUACGUG